UACAAAUUGAUUUUAUACUUUAGUCUCUCCACCAACCAAUGUGAAGCUAUCAUUGAUGUGUAAUGUGUUUCCUCAGAAACGCCUAAUAGAUUAAUGCUAAACUAGAUAACAAACAGAGUAACUAAAAUUGUAAUUGAUAUGUUAAUCAUCUCCACCAACGUAUCCUCCUCCUCUCAUUGCCUCCACCAUCUUCAGGCUCAAUCGGUUUUUGUCCAUUGCAUGCGACACUUGCUCUCGCUUAUUCAGAAGUCUCAGAAUGUCGGCUGUACUCUCCAUGUCUCUCCGACCCUCCACAUAUUGCACGCAGGCAAAAGCGGAGAGAGCCAUGCUGUUCUUUGGGUUCCAGCGGUCAUGCAGCCUCCCUUCCAUGGCCUCUGCCACUCUCUUCCUCCUCUCCUCUUCUUUAGCAUCUUCAUCCUCCACCAAAGUAUUAACCUUGUGAGCCAAACUCUCCCAUUUGCUCUCCUUCUUCCCAAGCAUAUCAACAACCUUCUCAGCCUCCUCCUUCACGCAUCUAUGUUGGAGACCAAAGUCCAUCAGAUCAAGAUUGGGACACUCAUUCCACUCUUCCAUAACCCCAUCGAGAUCACCCUUCUUCGUAAACGCCUUGACGAUAUCAGAACAUCUGGAACUGUCAAAGGAUAUCCCAUAGUCCUUAGCCAAGUUCCAGAGACGGUAAACAUCCUCUGUUAGAUUCUCGUUACAAUAAACAGUCAUGAGACAUCCAUAUAUGAUUUCUCUACAGCCGUCAUCAACAAAUGUCUCUGACCUACGAAGCAAAGCUAAACCCUUUUCCAUAAAUCCUGCUCGUAUGUAGACCAAUCCUGGAAAGUAGAAUGUGGUCCAUUUGUCCUGAAUCAUCACCUCCCACUUGCUCAAAAACUUCUCCACACCUUGUACAUCUACAACAGAUGCCAUAGAGUAAGAAGUCAAGAGCUUGACAAAGCAUAGUCCUUGGGGUUGCAUCUUUUUCUCGUCCAUCUCGCCAAGAAGCUUCACCACCAUGUCGUGAUCUUCAGCCUGAUGGUAGAGACAGAGCAUGGUGCUAUAGAAUUGAGGAUUGUUAUCAGCAAAACCAAGUUAUCUCAUCUUCUGAAAAGUAGUCUCAGCUAUGCCCAAAGAGCUGUGUGUUUUGCAGCAGCUCAAGAGAGCGUUGUACAAAUAAAUAUCUCUCUUUUCUACAGGAACAGUCUCGAAGAACUUAGCCGCUUCUUCCACACCACCAACUUUAGCAGCCAAGAAAAGUCGUCGCUCAAAAUCCAUUGAACUCAGCUUAUAGGCUUUUUGUUCAAUCAUCCAAUCCGAUACCUAAUAGCACAAAAAAAAAAACCUAAGAUUAACAAAUUUGUACAAGUCCCAAUUUUGCUUGUUUUUGAAAUCUCUAACCUGGAGAGCGUGAGAGAAGCGAUUGGAUCUGUGAAGAGAGGUAAUGAUGCUCCUGAGUUUUGAAAGUCCCGUUUGAUUUCCGCGUUGGCACCAUUCUCGGAGCAACGGAGUGAUGGAGACUGACGAAUCUUGGACUCUCUGGAUCCGACGCUUGAGAGUGUCAUUAAUGAGCUCCGGCGAAGGAAUGGUUUUGGGGAAAUGAACGAAGGAACGUCUGCAAGGAAGGAUCCAGAAGAAAUUACUGAAUUGUUGUCGGAGAAGAUGCUUCAUGCUCAAGCCAAAGAGAGACCACAAUUCCCAGACACACGACAAAACAAACCCUAGGUCUUCUCUGUCUCUGUCCAAG